rnacentral:rRNA from 1 species
GGCUAACGCUGGCGGCGUGUCUUAGCCAUGCAAGUCGAGCGGACUUAUGGGGUAACUUAUAAGUCAGCGGCGGACGGCGGAGUAACACGUAGCUAACCUACCCUCUGGACGGGGAGUAACCUACCGAAAGGUGGGCUAAUACCCGAUGUAGUCAUCCUGUAUAGGGGUGAUGAAAGGUGGGCUUCUGUUUACAAGCUCAUGCUGGAGGAGGGGGCUGCGGCCUAUCAGGUAGUUGGUAGGGUAAUAGCCUACCAAGCCGAUGACGGGUAGCCGGCCUGAGAGGGUGACCGGCCCGAGGGGCACUGAGAUACGGGUCCCACUCCUACGGGAGGCAGCAGGCUAGAAAUUUGGGCAAUGGGGGAAACCCUGACCCAGUGACGCCGCGUGCAGGAAGGAGCCCUUCGGGGUGUAAACUGCUGUCGUGUAGGGAGAAGGGUACUAAGGUGAACAAUCUUAGUACUUGACGGUACUACAGGAGGAAGCCCAGGCUAACCUCGUG